GAUGGCUGAGCAAGGCCAGACAUGUUCCUUUCAGUACUUGUGACUGAACUCAGACUCUUGUGGAUACUAGACAGUUUUUCUGCCAUGGGACUGCAUCUCCGGCAAGUGCUGAAGGUGUUAAAAUAUUCACCACGACCACACUGCUUCGCAUAACCGAACAAUGAGCUUUGAACUUCUCUGAAACUUGGAAAGUAAAAGGGGGUCUAGCUCUCAAGAGGAUAUGCUCUUCUUCGACACCUGAUCAUCUACAUACAAGAAGGUCAAGACAGGC